CACUACACCAUGAAAUUGAAGAUGAAAUAUUUAGAGUUGGAGAAAGAAGGGGAUGACAUAGAUGUCAACCCAAUCGACAUCAGCCACAUACUUGAUGAAGAAGAUUCAGUUAUAGCAUAGAUAGAGGACACUGGUAUUG